UUUCACGGGCACUGUACUCCCGAAGGAAUUUUGGUGCUCCCUCAGUCUCGUAUUUACACAACGCCCCGUCUGACCAAUAUAAACGUUUCCGCACGCGAAGGGUAUGUUGUAUACAACUCCAAUGGCACAUGUCUGAAUUAUUUGGC
rnacentral:lncRNA from 1 species